CCCUUAGAUGUUCUGGGCCGCACGCGCGCUACACUGACUGGUGCAACAAGUGUCGCUCCUUGGCCGAUAGGCCUGGGCAAUCUUUGAACGCCAGUCGUGAUGGGGAUAGAUUCUUGCAAUUUUUGAUCUUCAACGAGGAAUUCCUAGUAAACGCGAGUCAUCAACUCGCAUUGAUUACGUCCCUGCCCUUUGUACACACCGCCCGUCGCACCUACCGAUUGAAUGGCCCGGUGAACCCUCCGGAUCGGCCCGCGCCAACGCAAGUUGAGCAAAGGCCGAGAAGUUGGGUAAACCUUACCAUUUAGAGGAAGGUGAAGUCGUAACA
rnacentral:rRNA from 1 species